rnacentral:rRNA from 1 species
AGUGAACGCUGGCGGUAGGCCUAACACAUGCAAGUCGAACGGCAGCACAGUAAGAGCUUGCUCUUACGGGUGGCGAGUGGCGGACGGGUGAGGAAUACAUCGGAAUCUACUUUUUCGUGGGGGUUAACGUAGGGAAACUUACGCUAAUACCGCAUACGACCUACGGGUGAAAGCAGGGGAUCUUCGCACCUUGCGCGAUUGAAUGAGCCGAUGUCGGAUUAGCUAGUUGGCGGGGUAAAGGCCCACCAAGGCGACGAUCCGUAGCUGGUCUGAGAGGAUGAUCAGCCACACUGGAACGGAGACACGGUCCAGACUCCUACGGGAGGCAGCAGUGGGGAAUAUUGGACAAUGGGCGCAAGCCUGAUCCAGCCAUACCGCGUGGGUGAAGAAGGCCUUCGGGUUGUAAAGCCCUUUUGUUGGGAAAGAAAAGCAGCAGGUUAAUACCCCGCUGUUCUGACGGUACCCAAAGAAUAAGCACCGGCUAACUUCGUG